rnacentral:misc_RNA from 1 species
GAUGAAGAACGCAGCGAAAUGCGAUAAGUAAUGUGAAUUGCAGAAUUCAGUGAAUCAUCGAAUCUUUGAACGCACAUUGCGCCCGCCAGUAUUCUGGCGGGCAUGCCUGUUCGAGCGUCAUUACAACCCUCAGGCCCCCGGGCCUGGCGUUGGGGAUCGGCGGAAGCCCCCUGUGGGCACACGCCGUCCCUCAAAUACAGUGGCGGUCCCGCCGCAGCUUCCAUUGCGUAGUAGCUAACACCUCGCAACUGGAGAGCGGCGCGGCCAUGCCGUAAAACACCCAACUUCUGAAUGUUGACCUCGAAUCAGGUAGGAAUACCCACUGAACUUAAGCAUAUCAAUAAGCGGAGGA